UAAACCUUUAAAACUAUUUUU
rnacentral:piRNA from 1 species